GGCAGGCAUGCUCAGUACGGCGAGUGAGCGGCAAAAGCUCAAAUUUUAAAGCUGGCAUCUUCGGUGUCCGCGUUGUAAUUUUGUGAGGCAUCUCCGGGUAGGGCGCCGGCCUAAGUUCCUUGGAACAGGACGUCACAGAGGGUGAGAAUCCCGUGCUUGGCUGGCUGUCCCCGUCCAUGUGAGGUGUCUUCGACGAGUCGAGUUGUUUGGGAAUGCAGCUCAAAAUGGGUGGUAAAUUUCAUCUAAAGCUAAAUAUUGGUGGGAGACCGAUAGCGCACAAGUAGAGUGAUCGAAAGAUGAAAAGCACUUUGAAAAUAGAGUUAAAAAGUACGUGAAAUUGUUGAAAGGGAAGCGCUUGAGAUCAGACUUCGGUAGGGGGUGAUCAGCCGUCCUUCUGGGCGGUGCACUUGCCCCUCUCCGGGCCAGCAUCGGUUGAGGCGGCGGGAUAAAGGUCCCGGGAAUGUGGCUCCUUCGCGGGAGUGUUAUAGCCCGGGUGAAUGCCGCCAGUCUCGACCGAGGACCGCACCCGCAAGGGUUAGGAUGCUUGGCAUAAUGGUCUUCAGCGACCCGUCUUGAAACACGGACCA
rnacentral:rRNA from 1 species